rnacentral:rRNA from 1 species
GAUGAACGCUGGCGGCGUGCCUAAUACAUGCAAGUCGAGCGAACGGACGAGAAGCUUGCUUCUCUGAUGUUAGCGGCGGACGGGUGAGUAACACGUGGAUAACCUACCUAUAAGACUGGGAUAACUUCGGGAAACCGGAGCUAAUACCGGAUGAUAUUUUGAACCGCAUGGUUCAAAAGUGAAAGACGGUCUUGCUGUCACUUAUAGAUGGAUCCGCGCUGCAUUAGCUAGUUGGUAAGGUAACGGCUUACCAAGGCAACGAUGCAUAGCCGACCGGAGAGGGUGAUCGGCCACCCUGGAACUGAGACACGGUCCAGACUCCUACGGGAGGCAGCAGUAGGGAAUCUUCCGCAAUGGGCGAAAGCAUGACGGAGCAACGCCGCGUGAGUGAUGAAGGUCUUCGGAUCGUAAAACUCUGUUAUUAGGGAAGAACAUAUGUGUAAGUAACUGUGCACAUCUUGACGGUACCUAAUCAGAAAGCCACGGCUAACUACGUG